ensembl:lncRNA
AUGUCCAGAAUGAUGAGAUUAUUCAGCCAACAAUAUGUGGCUUCGGCCCUCCAUUCUGUAAGGCUGCACUUUCCUGCUCUGCACAUCGUCCACUAUAUGGAUGAUAUUCUUAUUGCGGCUGAAGGUGAAUCCCAAAUAAGCAGGUGCGACAGUCAGUUGGAAAUUACCUGGCAAAAAUACCAUUUAGCCAUCGCAGGAAAGAUUCACAAAACACGUCCUGCACUCUCUCUCUCGAGGGGCUCAGCUAUAGGCAACAGCUGUUUGACCAGCCUUUUGGUUACUUCAGGAGCCUUUACUCUAAAUAAAAGUGUCCUCAUUGUGUUCCAAACCACCCCCCAAUGCAUAUUGCUGUGAAUCCCAGAGGCUUAAUAGUACAAAUGGAUGUGACCCAUGAACGGUCCUCUGACGACGUCAAUAUAUCCACGUCACUGUGGAUACUUUCCCAGGAUUUUUAUGGGCUUCCUGCUGAUGAGGAGAAAGAACUUCUCAUGUUAUCAAUCACUGCUUAAUGACUUUUGAGAUGGCCGGUCCCCCCAGAACAUUAAAACAGAGAAUGGACCUGCUGAUACUUCCACACUUGGGCUAUUCACCUCACAGGUAUCCGUACAAUCCACAAGGACAAGCUACUGCGGAGCGCAGUAAUCAAACACUAAAAACAUUCCUUUUAAACAAAAAGGGGGAGACAGCACCCCGCAUCGACGAUUGGCAAUAGCUGUACAUACUAUCCAUAAUCUGAUCUUUGCUUCCAAUAACAUCCAGGGCUGGAAAAUGUUUCUCUGCAUUUUCCUAGGAACAGAAUUCAGGCACCGCCACUCCCGGGCUCCCUGCCUGCCCCAGAACAACAAUCUGUCAUGUGGAAAGACGAUGAUCAAUCCUGGCAAGGCCCCCACCCAGGGGUCCUGCAGGCUGGCUGUGUUGGUGUCUCCACAGGUGAAGACAGAGUUCGGCUCCCUCCUGCCGAGUUCGAGAAAUGGACCCUAAAGAGAAGGACAAGGAGAGGAUGCAGGAAGCCUCGCAAGGAGCCUCGACCACGUCUCCAUGAGAUGCUGCCUCUUCUGCUUCUGUUCCAGAACAAAAGUGCAGCUCCUGGAGUAAAGAGACGGUCUUUGGGGAACAACCCCCUUGGGUAGAGUCUGUCGGCGUGGGACACGCUUUACUGGGAGUCGUCUUCUAUAUACAAACUAACUGAUAUUCCUGGCAUUUACCAUUGGGAGAGACAAGCUAAGGACAGCAAUAGGCCAACAACUGGUUUGUGCCUUUCAACUGGACUGGACUGGUUGGGGCGCCCCAGUGGGCCUUGCACGAGACCAUCCUGCCUGCCUGCCCCUCAGAUCUCUGCAGGCGCCUUACUAUGGCCAUCCUGACCUGUCAGACUCCUUCUGGACAGGACCUUGUCGUGUAGACAAAGGGGUAAAAUAGGAAGGUCACGACCAACGGCAAUGUCUAGGUUGGCUGCGGGAACCUUGUGAUAGUACUUGGGGACCACAAAGACCUGUUUGUCCUUCUGUGAUGGGAUGUGAACAAGGAGACACCGUUAAUAUGUUUCCGCCCUCGCUGUCGUGCAGAUCUAAGAGGGCGUCACGUAUUCAUUGGACAAACAUGACCUGGGAGUCUUGGCACGACGACACAAGGCGGAUUGGACAGAAACUGGACUCUUAUACAUUUCAUGACUGUUUUAGAGGCGGAGAAGCUCGCCUUCGUGGUGAUGCUCCAGAGCUAAUCGGUGACGCUCUGCUACGUCACCCAGACGUUGACUGACUACGGACAGACAGCCCUGGCAUUGGAUAAAGAGAGUGUGUCUCCCUGUGUUACUGUCACUAAUACUGGGAACGUCCAAACACCAGUGACUAGAACUCCUACAUUGGACACUCGAGCUAGACACUCAGGGGGAUGGUAUCACCCACCGGCAGAUGGAGCAAUGGAGAAACUGUCUCAACUAAUCAGCCCAGGAAGAGAAGACGCACUUCUUGCUUAGUUUUAGGAAUUGUAGCCCUGAUAGCCGCCAUAACAGCCACAAACGGUCAGUAGUGUUUCUCUAGCACAAAGUGUAGCUCAUGUACCGACCCUGGAACAUGACGCGGCAUACUUACACGGGCUGGCGCAGAACGUAGCCCAGGCUUUGCACUCACAGCAGGAUAUUAAUACAGGGUUUUUAUGCUUUACAACAAAUAUCUAAAGAGGUAUCGUUGUUAACCAGUCAAGUAGAAAUUUUAGCUAUCAAGGGUAAAUUAAGGGGUGAUUAUCGCUAUUCAGCCUUUUGCCUCCUUCCUGUUAAAGCUAACACGUCGGAUGCAUUCGAAAAAAUUAGAAAUGAUUUACAAGGUCUUUGGUUAAAGAGUAACAUCUCAGAGGACAUCCAACAACUGAACCGUAUCAUUGAUGAGAUGGACAAGUCUUUAGCUGAGGACCUUCGCCCCGAACAUAUCGCUGAUUGGUUAUACAAUUGGAUUAAGUCAGGCCAAAGCUGGCUGUCUCCUUUAGCUCAAAUGAGUAUAACCAUAUUGACUUUCACACUGUUCAUAGUUAUCUUAGCGGUCCUUCUUCCCCGUCUGUUCCAACUCUUUUGUCCAGCUUGGGCAAAAUUGACCGGACUUUGGCCCUGCACAGAUCACUGUUGCAGAACAAAUAGGGGGAAUUGCAGUAGAGGAUUACCUCCUCUUUUUGUUAUUUGUAUUUGCUUAAGAUAAAGUUGUGGAUUUGUUUGUCUUUGCUUCAGACAAAGAUGAGGAUUAACCUUCACCCAUCCUGGGACCAAGGAUGGAACAGUAAACAAGAAGACUGCGGGAUAACAUUUAUGAAGGGCAAAUUGCGAUUGGGUGGGCGCCUAUCCCCUUGUCUGCCCCUCUUCCCCUUGUUUGGAUCUAUAGUAAAGGAAGGAUGUGGGUUAACCUUUGAACACCUGCCUAUCCCUGGACCAAGGUUAGGGUCUCUGGGAUGAAGAGUCAUCAAUUCCUGUGGGUUUUGUCUAAGUAGUCUUUGCCUAUAAAAGUUCUGGGUGAAGCAAAUAAAAUGGGCACUAUUUCUCUCUUUUCA